rnacentral:rRNA from 1 species
GACGAACGCUGGCGGCGUGCUUAACACAUGCAAGUCGAACGGAAAGGCCCUGCUUUUGUGGGGUGCUCGAGUGGCGAACGGGUGAGUAACACGUGAGUAACCUGCCCUUGACUUUGGGAUAACUUCAGGCAACUGGGGCUAAUACCGGAUAGGAGCUCCUGCUGCAUGGUGGGGGUUGGAAAGUUUCGGCGGUUGGGGAUGGACUCGCGGCUUAUCAGCUUGUUGGUGGGGUAGUGGCUUACCAAGGCUUUGACGGGUAGCCGGCCUGAGAGGGUGACCGGCCACAGUGGGACUGAGAUGCGGCCCAGACUCCUACGGGAGGCAGCAGUGGGGAAUAUUGCACAAUGGGCGGAAGCCUGAUGCAGCAACGCCGCGUGCGGGAUGACGGCCUUCGGGUUGUAAACCGCUUUCGCCUGUGACGAAGCGUGAGUGACGGUAAUGGGUAAAGAAGCACCGGCUAACUACGUG